UACAGAGGGUGCAAGCGUUAAUCGGAAUUACUGGGCGUAAAGGGCGCGUAGGCGGUUUAUUAAGUGAGAUGUGAAAUCCCUGGGCUUAACCCAGGAACUGCAUCUUAUACUGGUGAACUGGAGUACAGUAGAGGGCAGUGGAAUUUCCGGUGUAGCGGUGAAAUGCGUAGAUAUCGGAAGGAACACCAGUGGCGAAGGCGACUGCCUGGACUGAUACUGACGCUGAGGCGCGAAAGCGUGGGGAGCAAACAGGAUUAGAUACCCUGGUAGUCCACGCUGUAAACGAUGAGAACUAGAUGUUGGUGAGCUUGACUCAUUAGUAUCGAAGCUAACGCGAUAAGUUCUCCGCCUGGGGAGUACGGCCGCAAGGUUAAA
rnacentral:rRNA from 1 species